GACGUAGGGCGCGAGCGUUGUCCGGAUUUAUUGGGCGUAAAGAGCUCGUAGGCGGCUUGUCGCGUCGUUCGUGAAAACUUGGGGCUCAACCCCAAGCUUGCGGUCGAUACGGGCAGGCUAGAGUUCGGUAGGGGAGACUGGAAUUCCUGGUGUAGCGGUGAAAUGCGCAGAUAUCAGGAGGAACACCGGUGGCGAAGGCGGGUCUCUGGACAGUUCCUGACACUGAGGCACGAAGGCCAGGGGAGCAAACGGG
rnacentral:rRNA from 1 species